UACGGAGGGUGCAAGCGUUAUCCGGAUUCACUGGGUUUAAAGGGUGCGUAGGCGGGCAGGUAAGUCAGUGGUGAAAUCUCCAAGCUUAACUUGGAAACUGCCGUUGAUACUAUCUGUCUUGAAUGUUGUGGAGGUGAGCGGAAUAUGUCAUGUAGCGGUGAAAUGCUUAGAUAUGGCAUAGAAGACCAAUUGCGAAGGCAGCCCACUACACAAAUAUUGACGCUGAGGCGCGAAAGCGUGGGGAGCAAACAGG
rnacentral:rRNA from 1 species